rnacentral:tRNA from 1 species
GGAAGCGUGGCCGAGUGGUUGAAGGCGGCGGUCUCGAAAGCCGUUGGAGGGUUCUGCCCUCCCGGGAGUUCGAAUCUCUCCGCUUCCG